rnacentral:sRNA from 1 species
CGUGGGAGCAGUGGGGUUCGACGGCGCGGCCGCGAGGCCGCCAUGGCCGCUCACGGGAAGCUGCGGCGGGAGCGGGGGCUGCAGGCUGAGUAUGAGACGCAAGUCAAAGAGAUGCGCUGGCAGCUGAGCGAGCAGCUGCGCUGCCUGGAGCUGCAGGGCGAGCUGCGGCGGGAGUUGCUGCAGGAACUGGCAGAGUUCAUGCGGCGCCGCGCUGAGGUGGAGCUGGAAUACUCCCGGGGCCUGGAAAAGCUGGCCGAGCGCUUCUCCAGCCGUGGAGGCCGCCUGGGGAGCAGCCGGGAGCACCAAAGCUUCCGGUAGGUGAUGUGCUGGCAGGGGGGCCACGGCAGGGCCCAAGCUCCGCUCCCAGGUCUCAGUGCCCCUCUACCCCCAGGAAGGAGCCGUCCCUCCUGUCGCCCUUGCACUGCUGGGCGGUGCUGCUGCAGCACACGCGGCAGCAGAGCCGGGAGAGCGCGGCCCUGAGUGAGGUGCUGGCCGGGCCCCUGGCCCAGCGCCUGAGUCACAUUGCAGAGGACGUGGGGCGCCUGGUCAAGAAGUGCUGUGACACAGGGUUCCACCUGGCCCUGGGGCAGGUGCUCCGGAGCUACACGGCCGCUGAGAGCCGCACCCAAGCCUCCCAAGUGCAGGGCCUGGGCAGCCUGGAAGAAGCUGUGGAGGCCCUGGAUCCUCCAGGGGACAAAGCCAAGGUUCUCGAGGUGCAUGCUACCGUCUUCUGUCCCCCGCUGCGCUUUGACUACCACCCCCAUGAUGGGGAUGAGGUGGCUGAGAUCUGCGUUGAAAUGGAGCUGCGGGACGAGAUUCUGCCCAGAGCCCAGAACAUCCAGAGCCGCCUGGACCGACAGACCAUUGAGACAGAGGAGGUGAACAAGACUCUGAAGGCAACACUGCAGGCCCUGCUGGAGGUGGUGGCCUCAGAUGACGGGGAUGUGCUUGAUUCCUUCCAGACCAGCCCCUCCACCGAGUCCCUCAAGUCCACCAGCUCAGACCCAGGCAGCCGGCAGGCGGGCCGGAGGCGCGGCCAGCAGCAGGAGACCGAAACCUUCUACCUCACGGUGGGGAGGGCUGGGCUGGUGGGCGGGACCCGUGGGGGCAUUGCUGGGGCAGAGGGAGGGGCUCAAGCCAGGGCUAACACUUGGGGCUCUUCUUGGGGCUGCCCAGAAGCUCCAGGAGUAUCUGAGUGGACGGAGCAUCCUCGCCAAGCUGCAGGCCAAGCACGAGAAGCUGCAGGAGGCCCUUCAGCGAGGUGACAAGGAGGAGCAGGAGGUGUCUUGGACCCAGUACACACAGAGAAAAUUCCAGAAGAGCCGCCACCCCCGCCCCAGCUCCCAGUAUAACCAGAGACUCUUUGGGGGAGACAUGGAGAAGUUUAUCCAGAGCUCAGGCCAGCCUGUGCCCCUGGUGGUGGAGAGCUGCAUUCGCUUCAUCAACCUCAAUGGCCUGCAGCAUGAAGGCAUCUUCCGGGUAUCGGGUGCCCAGCUCCGGGUCUCAGAGAUCCGUGAUGCCUUCGAGAGAGGGGAGGACCCACUGGUGGAGGGCUGCACUGCCCACGACCUGGACUCGGUGGCCGGGGUGCUGAAGCUCUACUUCCGGAGCCUGGAGCCCCCACUCUUCCCCCCAGACCUGUUCGGCGAGCUGCUGGCUUCUUCAGAGCUGGAGGCCACAGCGGAGAGGGUGGAGCACGUGAGCCGCCUGCUGUGGCGGCUGCCCGCGCCGGUGCUGGUGGUUCUGCGCUACCUCUUCACCUUCCUCAACCACCUGGCCCAGUACAGCGAUGAGAACAUGAUGGACCCCUACAACCUGGCCGUGUGCUUCGGGCCCACGCUGCUACCGGUGCCCGCUGGGCAGGACCCGGUGGCGCUGCAGGGCCGGGUGAACCAGCUGGUGCAGACGCUCAUAGUGCAGCCCGAUCGGGUCUUCCCGCCCCUGACCUCGCUGCCUGGCCCCGUCUACGAGAAGUGCAUGGCACCACCUUCCGCCAGCUGCCUGGGGGACGCCCAGCUGGAGAGCCUGGGGGCGGACAAUGAGCCAGAGCUGGAAGCCGAGAUGCCCGCACAGGAGGAUGACCUGGAGGGGGUCGUGGAGGCUGUGGCCUGCUUUGCCUACACGGGCCGCACAGCCCAGGAGCUGAGCUUCCGGCGGGGGGACGUACUGCGGCUGCACGAGAGGGCCUCGAGCGACUGGUGGCGGGGGGAGCACAACGGCAUGCGGGGCCUCAUCCCCCACAAGUAUAUCACGCUGCCCGCCGGGACGGAGAAGCAGGUGGUGGGCGCAGGGCUGCAGACUGCAGGGGAGUCUGGGAGCAGUCCCGAGGGCCUCCUGGCAUCAGAGCUGGUCCACCGGCCAGAGCCAUGCACCUCACCUGAGGCCAUGGGACCCUCUGGACACAGACGACGCUGCUUGGUCCCAGCCUCCCCAGAGCAACACGUGGAGGUGGAUAAGGCUGUGGCACAGAACAUGGACUCUGUGUUUAAGGAGCUCUUGGGAAAGACCUCUGUCCGCCAGGGCCUUGGGCCAGCAUCUACCACCUCUCCCAGUCCUGGGCCCCGAAGCCCAAAGGCCCCGCCCAGCAGCCGCCUGGGCAGGAACAAAGGCUUCUCCCGGGGCCCUGGGGCCCCAGCCUCACCCUCAGCUUCCCACCCCCAGGGCCUAGACACGACCCCCAAGCCACACUGAGGUGCCGCUGCUGGAGAUGCGUGCCCCCGGCGGCUACCCACUGGACCGGCCACUCUCCCCAGCCCCCUUGCUUCUCUCCAGCCCUGUCCAGCAAGUGCAGGGUGCCUGCACUUCACCCUGUGCAGAGAGGUGGGAUGGGGCCAUGCACACAGGGAUGCCCGCUCCACAUCUUGCCUGCCCCUCAGCCCUGGCCCAGGCCCCUUUUGGAGGCAGCUGAGGAAGGAUGCUGGGGAAAGCCCUCUUCUGCAGCUUUGUGGAAGGCUGAUCAGUGGCUG